AGUGAACGCUGGCGGUAGGCCUAACACAUGCAAGUCGAACGGCAGCACAGUAAGAGCUUGCUCUUACGGGUGGCGAGUGGCGGACGGGUGAGGAAUACAUCGGAAUCUACUUUUUCGUGGGGGAUAACGUAGGGAAACUUACGCUAGUACCGCAUACGAUCUACGGGUGAAAGCAGGGGAUCUUCGGACCUUGCGCGAUUGAAUGAGCUGAUGUCGGAUUAGCUAGUUGGCGGGGUAAAGGCCCACCAAGGCGACGAUCCGUAGCUGGUCUGAGAGGAUGAUCGGCCACACUGGAACUGAGACACGGUCCAGACUCCUACGGGAGGCAGCAGUGGGGAAUAUUGGACAAUGGGCGCAAGCCUGAUCCAGCCAUACCGCGUGGGUGAAGAAGGCCUUCGGGUUGUAAAGCCCUUUUGUUGGGAAAGAAAAGCAGCAGGUUAAUACCCCGCUGUUCUGACGGUACCCAAAGAAUAAGCACCGGCUAACUUCGUG
rnacentral:rRNA from 1 species